UCCCUGGAGGCCUAGUGGUUAGGCCUCGGCGCUCUCACCGCUGUAGCCCGGGUUCUAUCCCCAGCCAGGGAA
rnacentral:tRNA from 1 species